AUCUAACACAGGAAUUAAUAUUCGUUUAUCAAUCCAAAUAAUAAUAUGUAAAUGAAAGCUGUACCGAAAAUUCAAACAUAAUUGUACAAGUCAUACUUACUUGCUAUAUACAGUUAAUUAUAAAUAGAGGGAGAAAUUUUAAAAAAUAUAAUUCUUUCAGUGGAAGCACGUCGUAGAUAUUCGAGUAACUACAAUCCUUAGUUGAGGAUUUUAUACUAUCCUCUUUGAAAUGGUUCAUGGCAAACUGACCACAACACAAAAAACAAAAAAAACAAAAU
rnacentral:lncRNA from 1 species